rnacentral:rRNA from 1 species
GAUGAACGCUGGCGGCGUGCUUAACACAUGCAAGUCGAACGGAAAGGCUCCUGCUUGCAGGGGUACUCGAGUGGCGAACGGGUGAGUAACACGUGGGUGAUCUGCCCUGCACUUCGGGAUAAGCCUGGGAAACUGGGUCUAAUACCGGAUAGGACCACAUUUUGGAUGGUGUGGUGGAAAGUUUUUCGGUGUGGGAUGGGCUCGCGGCCUAUCAGCUUGUUGGUGGGGUAAUGGCCUACCAAGGCGUCGACGGGUAGCCGGCCUGAGAGGGUGUACGGCCACAUUGGGACUGAGAUACGGCCCAGACUCCUACGGGAGGCAGCAGUGGGGAAUAUUGCACAAUGGGCGCAAGCCUGAUGCAGCGACGCCGCGUGGGGGAUGACGGCCUUCGGGUUGUAAACUCCUUUCGCUAGGGACGAAGCGUUUUUGUGACGGUACCUGGAGAAGAAGCACCGGCUAACUACGUG